AGCAGCCGCGGUAAUUCCAGCUCCAAUAGCGUAUAUUAAAGUUGUUGCAGUUAAAAAGCUCGUAGUUGAAUUUCGGGAUCAAUGUGUUGGUCGUGCCUUGGUACGUACUGGCAUUAUCGAUUCCUACCUUCUGAAGACCCUCGAUGUCAUUAAUUUGGUGUCUUGGGGAAUCAGGACUGUUACUUUGAAAAAAUUAGAGUGUUUAAAGCAGGCUCGCGCUUGAAUACAUUAGCAUGGAAUAAUGAAAUAGGACGUUUGAUUCUAUUUUGUUGGUUUCUAGGAUCGACGUAAUGAUUAAUAGGGAUAGUUGGGGGCGUUAGUAUUCAAUUGUCAGAGGUGAAAUUCUUGGAUUUAUUGAAGACUAACUACCGCGAAAGCAUUUGCCAAGGAUGUUUUCAUUAAUCAAGAACGAAAGUUAGGGGAUCGAAGACGAUCAGAUACCGUCGUAGUCUUAACCAUAAACUAUGCCGACUAGGGAUCGGAUGAUGUUAAUUUUUUAAUGACUCAUUCGGCGCCUUACG
rnacentral:rRNA from 1 species